AGUGUACGCUGUCGGCACACCCACACAUAUAAGAGUAGCGGUAUCACAGAGUUGCUUGCUACUAUGGUGUCGAGCGGCGGACGGGUGAGUAAUGCUUGGGAACAUGCCUUGAGGUGGGGGACAACAGUUGGAAACGACUGCUAAUACCGCAUAAUGUCUACGGACCAAAGGGGGCUUCGGCUCUCGCCUUUAGAUUGGCCCAAGUGGGAUUAGCUAGUUGGUGAGGUAAUGGCUCACCAAGGCGACGAUCCCUAGCUGGUUUGAGAGGAUGAUCAGCCACACUGGGACUGAGACACGGCCCAGACUCCUACGGGAGGCAGCAGUGGGGAAUAUUGCACAAUGGGCGCAAGCCUGAUGCAGCCAUGCCGCGUGUGUGAAGAAGGCCUUCGGGUUGUAAAGCACUUUCAGUCAGGAGGAAAGGUUAGUAGUUAAUACCUGCUAGCUGUGACGUUACUGACAGAAGAAGCACCGGCUAACUCCGUGCCAGCAGCCGCGGUAAUACGGAGGGUGCGAGCGUUAAUCGGAAUUACUGGGCGUAAAGCGUACGCAGGCGGUUUGUUAAGCGAGAUGUGAAAGCCCCGGGCUCAACCUGGGAACUGCAUUUCGAACUGGCAAACUAGAGUGUGAUAGAGGGUGGUAGAAUUUCAGGUGUAGCGGUGAAAUGCGUAGAGAUCUGAAGGAAUACCGAUGGCGAAGGCAGCCACCUGGGUCAACACUGACGCUCA
rnacentral:rRNA from 1 species